rnacentral:rRNA from 1 species
UACGUAGGGGGCUAGCGUUGUCCGGAUUUAUUGGGCGUAAAGAGCGUGUAGGCGGCCAAGCAGGUCCGCUGUGAAAACUCGAGGCUCAACCUCGAGAGGUCGGUGGAAACCGUUUGGCUAGAGUCCGGAAGAGGAGAGUGGAAUUCCUGGUGUAGCGGUGAAAUGCGCAGAUAUCAGGAGGAACACCGGUGGCGAAGGCGGGUCUCUGGGCCGAUACUGACGCUGAGGAGCGAAAGCGUGGGGAGCGAACAGG